GAUAACCUUGGAAGUUAUCAAGAUAGGAAAUAGAGUGAGAUCGAGAAAAGAAAGAAAUAAGAGAGAUAGAUUGAUAGAAAUGGAAGGAGAAAAGAGUUUGUUGUUUGUUGUGAUGUUAAGACAUGAGGAAACCCUAAACAAUUGGGUCCUCUUAAAUACUCAACAGUAGUACUAAAGACUCUAUCUCUCCGAGAGGUUUAUCCUCUCAAACUCUCUAUUACAAUUAGUGGCUCUUAGCCACUUUGCUUCUUCUCGUGUCUCCUGCUGUCACGACCCGAUCUCUUGCCUUUUCUCACAUACGCCAACGGAACACAAAGUCUAUCNN
rnacentral:lncRNA from 1 species